GAUGAACGCUGGCGGCGGGCUUAGCACAUGCAAGUCGAGGGGCAGCAGGGGUAGCAAUACUCGCUGGCGACCGGCAAACGGGUGCGGAACACGUACACAAUCUACCUUUAUCUGGGGUAUAGCCCGAAGAAAUUCGGAUUAAUCCCCCAUAAGAUAUUAGAGUGGCAUCACUUCGAUAUUAAAACUCCGGUGGAUAAAGAUGAGUGUGCGUCCCAUUAGCUAGUUGGUAGGGUAACGGCCUACCAAGGCAACGAUGGGUAGCUGGUGUGAGGGCACGACCAGCCACACGGGCACUGAGACACGGGCCCGACUCCUACGGGAGGCAGCAGUGAGGAAUAUUGGUCAAUGGACGCAAGUCUGAACCAGCCAUGCCGCGUGAAGGAUGAAGGCCUUCUGGGUUGUAAACUUCUUUUAUUGGGGAAGAAAAUUACGGUUUCUACUGUAACCGACGGUACCCAAGGAAUAAGCACCGGCUAACUCCGUGCCAGCCGCCGCAGUAAUAC
rnacentral:rRNA from 1 species